GGGGCACAUUUUCUCUCAACAACCUUUCUUCAGAUAAAGAAUAUCUGGCAUCAUGUGUUAUAGCAUCCACUAACCCUUUCUCUAUCUGGUGUUUAAUGGCUUUGAAGAGAAGAAAGAGGGAGGCACCUGCAUAUUCUUUAAGAUUUAUCAAUGAGCCUCAACAAAAGACAUUUAAGAAUAUCUGUAGCAUAUUCCAUCUUGUCCAUAAGCACAACCAUUAGAAGUGAGGCAACGCUUACUCUGCAAAUAACAGUCAAAUCCACACGAGCAGGCACCAACAUUGUAGCACCCUCAAUAUUGGUGAUACACUGAAAACCCAUAUGUCCAGCUUGUGGAUAUGAGAGCACCAUCCACAAUAAGGAUCCUUGGAUUCUAAACAGGAAGAACAAUUGCUAUAGCUGCUACAAUGCUCAACUUUUAUUUUCGUGAUCUGAAAUUGGAAGUUGAUUUUUAAACAAAAGAAAUUUGAGCAACAGAGGUUUCAGAUUCUGAAUAAAUGGUAAGAAAAUCCUACCUGAGAAGUUGAAAGGACAUAUAGAUGUUCUCCAGAAGGUGAUAGUGUGGUGUCAGCAAAAACUGAGGAGUGCAGACUAUCUGGGGAGGAGGAAGCAAUCCAACGCAAAAAAAAACUUUGGACGAGAAAAUUGUAGGAGCAAGAAGUAACUUUCUUAAAGCCAUCCCAUAUAUUGGCUGAUUGUCACCAUGGAACUGGAGGUCGAGCUGUAAACGACAUAGUGGCAAGAACAGCUCUGCAAGAACAGCACAUCACUUGGUGAUUUUUGAUCUUUUGAUUGACUUUGUUUAUAUCCGUUUCUGAAUGACUUGUUUAUCUACGAUUUCAACCAGAACACAUAGGUGUGCUCAGGCCAUACGAAGCCUUUAACUGGCACUAUUUGUUCUUAGAGGAAGGUUGAAUAUCGCCCGAACUUUGUGAACAGUCAAUAUAAUCGUUUCUUGCGAACUACAAUAACAAUUGAUCCCUUAUCUACAAAGUUGAGUCCGAUAAUAACUAUUUCGCUGAUAAUCGAGUUAUAGCCCUUUCAAAAUUGUUGAUAUCAUUGAACAAUAAGUACGUUUCUUGUAUUCUUAUUACUAUAACUGUAUGUUAUGGAUAUUUAUUUUCAACUAUAACAGCAUAUAUUUUCAGAUAAAAAUGUAAUACAACAAGUUUAAA